ensembl:scaRNA
UGGGAGGCAGAUACUUGGGCAGUGCUAAGAUGUGCUCUGCCCAUCACUAGUCCUCCCUAAAGGAUCCGUGCUCUCUGAUGACUGUGGUGAGUGGAGAGAAAUUACCACAGACAGAUACGGAGCAGACACUC